GAUGAACGCUGGCGGCGUGCCUAAUACAUGCAAGUCGAGCGAACAGACGAGGAGCUUGCUCCUCUGACGUUAGCGGCGGACGGGUGAGUAACACGUGGAUAACCUACCUAUAAGACUGGGAUAACUUCGGGAAACCGGAGCUAAUACCGGAUAAUAUAUUGAACCGCAUGGUUCAAUAGUGAAAGACGGCUUUGCUGUCACUUAUAGAUGGAUCCGCGCCGCAUUAGCUAGUUGGUAAGGUAACGGCUUACCAAGGCAACUAUGCGUAGCCGACCUGAGAGGGUGGUCGGCCACACUAGAGCUUGAACACGGUCCAGACUCCUGCGGGAGGCAGCAGUAGGGAAUCUUCCGCAAUGGGCGAAAGCCUGACAGAGCAGCGCCGCGUGAGAGAUGAAGAUCUUCGGAGCGUAAAACUCUGUUAUUAGGGAAGAACAAAUGUGUAAUUAACUAUGCACGUCUUGACGGUACCGAAUCAGAAAGCCACGGCUAACUACGUG
rnacentral:rRNA from 1 species